GAGAAGAGAAGAGAAGAGAAGAGAAGAGAAGAGAAGAGAAGAGAAGAGAAGAGAAGAGAAGAGAAGAGAAGAGAAGAGAAGAGAAGAGAAGAGAAAAAAGGGAAACAAUGGGAAAAGGGAAAAGAAUAGAAAGGGAAAAAGAGAAAGAGGAAAAGAAAAAAGAAGAAAGAAGAAAAAAGGGAAAAGAGAAAAGAAAGAGAAAAAGAGAAAGGGGAAAAUAAAUAAAAAAAAAAAAAGGAAAAAAAAAAUGGAAAAGGGAAAAGGAGAACCCAGAACAGGACGAGGACCGGCGCAGAGGCCCCGCAGAGCUCCCCGCUCCCACCCGCCCGUGGGCACUGCCCCAACGCCCCGGCACCCCCCACACCCCCCCUCUCCCCCACCUAACGAAUUACCAGAGGCAAUUAGCGCUGCUGAGGGCACCCGAGGGAAACCACCCCAAAAACGCGGCCAGCAACGUGCUGCCGUCCCAACCCCACAAAACCCACAAAACCCACAAAACCCACAAAACCUACAAAAAGAUGGGGAAAUCUCCAUCCCGCAGCCCCCCCCCGUGCCCCCCACACGACACCACCACCGGAGCCUUGAAACAAAUCCCAACUUUUAUUUAUUUCCACCGAGCACACACAGACCACGAGGGAUGGGGAUGCGCUACACCACGACGCCGACCUCCCCGCGCUGCCUUCCCGCUACAAACCCCCAAAAAUCCUCCCCCACCCCCCAAAAAAAAAACCAAAAAAACCCACACCCGGGCACCCCCCCCGUAGAUUUUUCCCUUCCAACCCUGCUGGCCCCGAGGGGAUUUUUGGGGACGUUUUGGGGUGACUUUUGGGGUGAGGUUCCUGCAGCGGCACCCUGCGGGGAGGGGGAAAUAGGGAGCAGCGAGGCGCAGGGCACCCCCGCUGGGUGCUUUUUCGGCUCCCGAUCCCCCCUUCCUGGGCUCCUGGUGCAGCUUUUUAGGGUUUCGGGCGGUGGAACAGAGCGGUUGGAAAAGAGGCGCGCCCGUUAAAAAAAUUAUUACAAACCACAGCGGCGCUCGGGGAGGGCAGCACGAAAGGAAAAGGCAAGGCAGGGCAGGGGGGGUACAAUUUUUCCCCGAAAUACCACGAGCUCACUGCCCCAGGAACCGGAGCAGGGGGAUGCCAGAGCCACCGCGGGCCCCCGGUGGCCCCAGCCUCGUAUAAGGGGUCUUCGAUGCAGAAGACUAGAAAAAAGAGUAUGAAAAGGUAGAAAAAAACCCCAAAUGCACUUGUUUCGGGCUAGAAAGACUCGCAGAAAGGUGCCUAGAGGCUGUGGCCCUCUUGGGUUUCUCAGUUUUUCGGCCGAUGGCUGGCUCAGAGCUGGGGGCUGUGGGGUUACCGCGGUCCCCAGUGCACCCCCGGUGGUGCCCGGAUAAUUUUGGGUGCAGACCCCGUGGACUAACGGGGGUGGAGGUGAGCAGAGCCCCCGUCCCCCUGCCCGUCAGCAUCCCCAGAGGUGUUGGGCAGCGGGAGGGAAAGGCUUCUGGCAAGCCACGUCCUCGCCAGCACCCCCCUGGCACCCAGCCCCGAAAGGAGGCGUUUUUCCCCCAAAAGGCUGAUGGUGGCUGCUGCUUCUCUGCGGACCCCGGAGCGAGCCCUGCUGCGGGGUGCAGGCUGUGUAUAAACGGGGCGUCAGGCACCUGCGGGAGCGGGGAGCUCCGGGGGCAUCCUGCACCCCCAAAAAUCACCCCCGUGGCCACGGGGCGAGGGACGGGAAGGGGCAGGAGCAGCGGGGAAGCCGAAAGGGGUGGGCAGGGAGCGAGCGAGGGGCAGAGAAGAGGCACGGAGGUGUGGGAGGAGAGGACGGGGCUGGGAAGAAGUGGCCAGAGGUGAUUUUGGAGGCCAUCCAAAAAAAAAAAAAAAGGUCCAGGGAGGUGCUGCGGGAGUCGAUUUUGCCUCGGGCAUCGCCUCGGGGGUCACCUUGGGCAUCGCCUUGGGCAUCGCCUCGGGCAUCGCCUCCCCCCCCCCCC
rnacentral:lncRNA from 1 species